rnacentral:rRNA from 1 species
GGCGGACGGGUGAGUAACGCGUGAGGAGCUGUCCUAUGCAGGGGGACAACAGUUGGAAACGACUGCUAAUACCCCAUAAGCCGAGAGGUAAAAGGAUUUAUCCGGCAGAGGAGGUACUCGCGUCCUAUCAGCUAGUAGGUGAGGUAACGGCUCACCUAGGCGAAGACGGGUAGCCGGCCUGAGAGGGCGAACGGCCACACUGGAACUGAGAUACGGUCCAGACUCCUACGGGAGGCAGCAGUGGGGAAUAUUGCACAAUGGACGAAAGUCUGAUGCAGCAACGCCGCGUGGAGGAUGACACAUUUCGGUGCGUAAACUCCUUUUAUAUAAGAAGAUAAUGACGGUAUUAUAUGAAUAAGCACCGGCUAACUCCGUGCCAGCAGCCGCGGUAAUACGGGGGGUGCAAGCGUUACUC